AAACCAGCUUUCCCUUGCUCUUGUGUUUGAACAGCUGCUUGCAGUGAGGCUGUUGUGCGUCCUUAGGGCUCAGGGCUGGAGGAGGAGCCCUCACACACCUUUGUUCCCAGAGCCCAUGGCUGCCAGGAGACCAGCUGCCUGGUACAGGUCAGCCCUUGCUUGGUGUACGGGGUUCCUGGACCUCCCUGGCUUCCUCCUGAGUGUGUUCCCGACCCACUGUCACCAGUCUGUCCCCACUGCCUCGCCAGGCAACUGGUCUCAGCAGUGAUGUCCCAGGCUGAAAGGGCUCCUGCCCAGCUGGUCCUCUACACCCAGGAGAGCGGGAGAGUGGUCCAGGGUGGGACCAGAUCCCACCUCUCAGCUGAUGGAUGACGGCACCAGCCUCCUGCCGUGUAGGCUACAAGGGGCCCCCAGAAAUUCCAGGGAGGAAAGUGGGUUCCACUGAAGGUGUCACGUGUGACCAGAAAAGAUACGGCCCUUCAGAUGAGAUUCCGUCCGAGGUCGCCACAGAGCUGGGCAUCUGCCGCAUCUCUCCAACAUAACUUCUGACCCCAGGAUCUCCUAGGUCCUGUCCCCUCCACACUGGGCCAGAGAGAGGAGGCUUCCUGGAGGAGGGGCAGGGUCAAAGAGACCCUGAGGGAGACCUCGCCUUCGGCCAGUUUCCCUCCUGGAAGCCGGCGGUUCGAGAGAGAACAUACACAUUUAUACAAAAAGUAAAAGUGAAACAAGUGUCGCCUUUGGUGAGCCCCUCUCCCAACAGCUCCUGGAGGGUCACAUAGACUCACUCAAGAUUCUUGGGUCCACAUGGCAAGCCCAUAGUGUGGCAGUCCCAGCUGUACAGCAAACACAGUACUGUCUGGAAUUCUCCAGAUUCCUCUUUUGUGGAAGGUCAGCUCGAACCCUGCUUUCUAUGGUCAAACAAGCACCAGCUUGGUGGUUAGAUUGCCACACAUUUCACAGCACUUGUCAGCCCCUCCCCCACCGCCUCCCUUUACCCUUUUCUGGUCCAGGGGCUCUAGGUUGGACCAGUGCGUUUGCGUUUUUCAAAUUACCCCAAAGCUGGGUAGCGCGGUGGGCACCUGUGGUUCCGGCUACUUGGGAGGCUGGCACAGGAGCGCCGAAGUCAGCUUGGACAACGUGGAAAGAUCCCAGAUAAUGGGGGUGGGGAGGAGAAGGAGAAGGCAGCGCCGUUUAUAGUCCCAUCACUCCAGAGGCUGAGGCAGGAGGAUCUCAAGUUUGGCCUGGGCUGCAGAAUUGAGACCCUGUCUUAGAAAGCAACAUAAAAACAAAUAAUACCAAGAAAAAAAAACAUCAGCUAUUAUGUAAGGAUGUAUUGAUAAGUGUUGAAUGUAGAUUACACUAGGCUUAAACCCAUUCCCACCAACACCGUGAACUGCAAAUUCUGACUGAGUAAUGGGGUGCAUCUGCUCUUGGGUGUGGGAGACCAGGGGACCUAAGGCUCCCACUGGCACAGAACCCCUCUAUGCUGUUGGCCACCUCUCUCACAGACUGGAUGCAGCUGUUGGAAGGCUAGGAUGCCUUUGGAGACACUGGCAUCUCCACCCAGUUGGAUGCUUGGGGGUCACAACUAGCUGGAUGCAGCCAGUGAGGAGGUGGACGCCAGGGCAGAAGCCCACAGCAGGUUGGGGCUCGUCUGUACAUAAACAAUUAAGCCUUGGGAGGAAGAACUCAGAUUCGUCCUGGUGCCGGGAGUUUGUGCCCCAGCAGCUGCGAGCGAGACUUCAGGGCUGACAUGCAAGUUCUGGACUUGGUUAAAAUGGAGUGGAAUAAGGAGGCGACACCCCAGUAGAGUCAGCUGAGCAUCGCCCUCACCACCCUCGCCCAUCCUUGGGCUGAGAGGCUGACGGCUGAAUUGCAAAGGCAGGCUCUGUCCUGGAGGCGGAGCCGCCACGAGUAUGGUGUGGGUGGACAUGAGGACUCUGCCUUGUGUUUCACAGGGAGCUGGCAGGGAAGCAGGGGGCGAAGCCUAAGUGAGUAACCGCCGCCCGCCCUGCAGCAGCCGAUCUCAAUGCCUAAGAAGUCCAGAGAUGUGACAACGGCCCUCUCCGCCUCUGCUGCGCCCUUCUUGUCCUUGCACAAGUCAGACCCUUCUUGCACAGCUGGGUCCUUCUUGCACACCCGGGCCCUCUUUGCCACGUCCACCCCACUCUAUGCCUCCGUUGGCCUCCCGCCGCACACUCAUCGCGUUCCCCCGAGGGGAUAACCUCCCUCCCACUUCUAGCCCCAGCUUGGAGGCACCCAUUUCUCACUGGCCCUGAGCGGUGGGCCGGGCGAGGGUUGUGGUCCCAGGCAGAGCGGCAGGGCGGCGUCGCCCUCUGCUGGCAUACUUGGGCACUGCUCCCCCUCAACACCUGGCCCCCGGUUUCUGGGUUGGAGUUCCUUCUUUGACUUCUACUAGGUCUAUUUUUUAUUUUAUUUUAUUUUAUUUUAUUGAGAUCUGGUUUCAUCACCCCAUCACAGAAUAUAUCGACUUCAGUCUGUCUUCUUUUUAAAUUGUAUUAUGUUUUAUUUAUUUAUCUACCAUGUGUGUCGAGGUCAGAGGAUAACCUGUGGGAGUCGGUUCUCUCCUUUCACCAUGUGAGUCUUGAGGAUCAACCUGAGGUUGCCGCGCUUGCUGGCAAGUGCCCUUCCCACCCGAGUCAUCUCGCCAGCCCUUGCAGCCCGUUUUCUAAGCGUAAAAUAAGCGCACCUGGCGUUUCCCCGACACAGCGCCUUCUGACUCUUCCUCUGUCCCCCUGGCCUUUCCCAGAGAGUGGCGUGUUUCUCAUGUCACCUAGGCCCUGCUACUCCGUUGCCUCCCAGAAGCCAGGAUAUCCUCGGUCGUUGAACUCUCUGGCACUCUUUUGCUGUUCCCCAGACUCUUUUUUUUUUCUUCCCCUUCCUGUUUGGGUUGUUGCACUUUUUAUUAAAAGGCAUUCUGGCAUAUA